GAUGAACGCUAGCGGCAGGCUUAAUACAUGCAAGUCGUGGGGCAGCAGGUUUGUAGCAAUACAGAUGCUGGCGACCGGCAAACGGGUGCGGAACACGUACACAACCUUCCUUUAAGUGGGGAAUAGCCCAGAGACAUUUGGAUUAAUACCCCGUAACAUUAUGAUGUGGCAUCACAUUAUAAUUAUAGCUCCGGCGCUUAAUGAUGGGUGUGCGGCUGAUUAGGUAGUUGGCGGGGUAACGGCCCACCAAGCCUGCGAUCAGUAACUGGUGUGAGAGCACGACCAGUCACACGGGCACUGAGACACGGGCCCGACUCCUACGGGAGGCAGCAGUAAGGAAUAUUGGGCAAUGGAGGCAACUCUGACCCAGCCAUGCCGCGUGGAGGAUGAAGGUCCUCUGGAUUGUAAACUUCUUUUAUAUGGGACGAAAAAGGGCUUUUCUAAGUCAACUGACGGUACCAUAUGAAUAAGCACCGGCUAACUCCGUGCCAGCCGCCGCUGUAACAC
rnacentral:rRNA from 1 species